rnacentral:lncRNA from 1 species
UUGAAAAAUAUGGGCCUUUCUUACAACCAGCUCAGUGGUCCGCUACCUCAGGAAAUUGGGAACCUGAAGAAUCUAAUGGAGUUGGACUUGGGCACUAAUAGCCUAAUUGGGCCUAUUCCUUCAACUCUUGGUCGCUUAACCAAUUUGAAUUAUAUGAGCCUCUCUCGCAACAUGUUCGGUGGUCUACUACCUCAGGAAAUUGGGAACCUGAAGAAUUUGAUCGAGUUGAAUGUGGGCAGUAACAGCCUAAUUGGGCCGAUUCCUUCAACUCUAGGUCUUUUGACCGAUUUGAGCUAUUUGGAUCUUAGUUGUAACCAAUUCAGCAGCUCAAUUCCAAAUGAUACAACCAAACUUC